CCCAUUCAUUCCUUCACACCGGCACGGCACGUACAGGGCAUCUAAUUCUUGUAGGUGAGGGUAUUAAACACCCAGCAACCAAACGAUACGUACGACAAAGCUUGAUUAGCUCCACGGACAUUCCGCCCAUGACGCAUCUACUAACUACCAACAGUACAAGCUUGAUUAACUCUGUUCACGAAAGCAUCAACGAUGACAUGUUCGCUUUGCCCAAAGCAUGCAAAUCGAUCCAUCUACCGAAAGCAAAAGAACAAAAGCAGAUUGAGCACCGUCCCUGUGUUUCUAUCCCUGCUACUUUCUUCCACCUAGAAAGAAAGCAAAGGGGAUCGCUAAAUAUCAGUCGACUAGACCCUAUAUUGACGACAUCUUACGUGAAGAUUCGUGUAAAUUUAAUGUUUUGGUUUCAUCUUUUUUUUUUUGUAUAUUCUGUCACUUGAGCGAGCGUUGGUUCCACAGAUCUAGCCACACCUAGAAGCAAAGCAAUGGUCGACCGAUCGAGCAGCAAUGCAAUGCAGGAGGAUGGAUCCUCGCCCGGCCGGGGUGAACAAGAGGUGAAGCAAACACGCGUGCAGUGCACACAGUACCGUUCGUUUUUAUUUAUUGCUAAUUGAAAUCCUCAAAUCUAAUAAGCGCGGGGCUCUGGAUCCGAAAGCUGCCUGCACGAGCGGGCAGCUUAAUCUGUCACUAACUUUUCCACUGGAUUCGAUUCAGUACAGCACGUAAGCAAGCGAGCAUGCAUUGCAUGGCUGCCUGUACUCUCUUGGAUUAAUUAAGUAAUUAAGCAGGAGCCGGUAACUACACAGCUCCCGCGCUCCAGUCCCAGUCCAGCUCGCCGCUGCGAGGAGGAAGGAGCCUAC
rnacentral:lncRNA from 1 species